rnacentral:rRNA from 1 species
GAUGAACGCUGGCGGCGUGCCUAAUACAUGCAAGUCGAGCGAAUGGAUUGAGAGCUUGCUCUUAUGAAGUUAGAGGCGGACGGGUGAGUAACACGUGGGUAACCUGCCCAUAAGACUGGGAUAACUCCGGGAAACCGGGGCUAAUACCGGAUAAUAUUUUGAACUGCAUGGUUCAAAAUUGAAAGGUGGCUUCGGCUGUCACUUAUGGAUGGACCCGCGUCGCAUUAGCUAGUUGGUGGGGUAACGGCUCACCAAGGCCACGAUGCGUAGCCGACCUGAGGGGGUGAUCGGCCACACUGGGACUGAGACACGGCCCAGACUCCUACGGGAGGCAGCAGUGGGGAAUCUUCCGCAAUGGACGAAAGUCUGACGGAGCAACGCCGCGUGAGUGAUGAAGGCUUUCGGGUCGUAAAACUCUGUUGUUAGGGAAGAACAAGUGCUAGUUGAACAAGCUGGCACCUUGACGGUACCUAACCAGAAAGCCACGGCUAACUACGUGCCAGCCGCCGCAGUAA